UUCUAAAUUCUAGAUUAAUUAAAUGAGCUUGAAUAUAUUUGAAUAUAUCUAGAUAAAGCGUCUGUCAGAUCUGAUGCAGCUGCUGAACUUGAUCGACUUACAAGAAACCAGAAAAAGAGUCUCGUCUCGCCCUCUCCAAAUGGCGAAGGCCAAAGCCAGUCUGAUUGCUAGCAUUUCUUCCAUCCACCUUAAUUGACUUUGAAUUCAGCACCGCCUGGUGUCAACUUUCAGAACUAAUUCAGCUCGGCUUGUCCACAGCUGAGCGGAGAGAGGACAGCCUUACCGAUUCAUUUCGGCUGUGAUAUGAACUAAAGAUACUGUAGUGACAUUAAAGGUUUAGAAAACCAACACUUAUCAUAUUAUUUCAGCAGGAACCAGUGAUAUAAACUUUUACUUUUUGGUUAAUUUUAUUUUUCUAUUCUGAUGAUUAUGUAUUUUCUGGUCUUGUCAAAGAUCAUGUUUUUCAGACCAAAUAACUUUUGGGUUUUAUUGAAAUUAUUUCAUUCGAUGGUGGGAGGGGGUUGAUUUAAAUUUUAACUUAAAAGUUAUGACAAUCGAUAAAAUCUAGUUUCACGCUAAACAUUGCACUAUUAAUUAGUAGUCCUGUACUCACACUAAUUUCAUUUUAAAUUAUUAAUUUUUAUUUAUAAUCAAUAGUUAAAUAUAUUGACAACUACUU